GACGAACGCUGGCGGCAGGCCUAACACAUGCAAGUCGAACGGUAGCACAGAGAGCUUGCUCUCGGGUGACGAGUGGCGGACGGGUGAGUAAUGUCUGGGAAACUGCCUGAUGGAGGGGGAUAACUACUGGAAACGGUAGCUAAUACCGCAUAACGUCGCAAGACCAAAGAGGGGGACCUUCGGGCCUCUUGCCAUCAGAUGUGCCCAGAUGGGAUUAGCUAGUAGGUGGGGUAACGGCUCACCUAGGCGACGAUCCCUAGCUGGUCUGAGAGGAUGACCAGCCACACUGGAACUGAGACACGGUCCAGACUCCUACGGGAGGCAGCAGUGGGGAAUAUUGCACAAUGGGCGCAAGCCUGAUGCAGCCAUGCCGCGUGUAUGAAGAAGGCCUUCGGGUUGUAAAGUACUUUCAGCGGGGAGGAAGGUGUUGUGGUUAAUAACCGCAGCAAUUGACGUUACCCGCAGAAGAAGCACCGGCUAACUCCGUGCCAGCAGCCGCGGUAAUACGGAGGGUGCAAGCGUUAAUCGGAAUUACUGGGCGUAAAGCGCACGCAGGCGGUCUGUCAAGUCGGAUGUGAAAUCCCCGGGCUCAACCUGGGAACUGCAUUCGAAACUGGCAGGCUAGAGUCUUGUAGAGGGGGGUAGAAUUCCAGGUGUAGCGGUGAAAUGCGUAGAGAUCUGGAGGAAUACCGGUGGCGAAGGCGGCCCCCUGGACAAAGACUGACGCUCAGGUGCGAAAGCGUGGGGAGAAACAGGAUUAGAUACCCUGGUAGUCCACGCCGUAAACGAUGUCGACUUGGAGGUUGUGCCCUUGAGGCGUGGCUUCCGGAGCUAACGCGUUAAGUCGACCGCCUGGGGAGUACGGCCGCAAGGUUAAAACUCAAAUGAAUUGACGGGGGCCCGCACAAGCGGUGGAGCAUGUGGUUUAAUUCGAUGCAACGCGAAGAACCUUACCUACUCUUGACAUCCAGAGAACUUACCAGAGAUGGUUUGGUGCCUUCGGGAACUCUGAGACAGGUGCUGCAUGGCUGUCGUCAGCUCGUGUUGUGAAAUGUUGGGUUAAGUCCCGCAACGAGCGCAACCCUUAUCCUUUGUUGCCAGCGGUCCGGCCGGGAACUCAAAGGAGACUGCCAGUGAUAAACUGGAGGAAGGUGGGGAUGACGUCAAGUCAUCAUGGCCCUUACGAGUAGGGCUACACACGUGCUACAAUGGCGCAUACAAAGAGAAGCGACCUCGCGAGAGCAAGCGGACCUCAUAAAGUGCGUCGUAGUCCGGAUUGGAGUCUGCAACUCGACUCCAUGAAGUCGGAAUCGCUAGUAAUCGUAGAUCAGAAUGCUACGGUGAAUACGUUCCCGGGCCUUGUACACACCG
rnacentral:rRNA from 1 species